ensembl:snRNA U6 U6 spliceosomal RNA
GUGCUCACCAUAGCAGCACAGAAACUAAAAUCAGAAUGAUACACAAAUAAUUAGCAUGGCCUCUGCACAAGGAUGACGCACAAAUUUGUGAAGCAUUCCAUAUUUUU